rnacentral:rRNA from 1 species
GGCGGUAUUUUAGUCUAUUCAGAGGAAUCUGUCCUAUAAUUGAUAAUCCACGAUUUAAUUUACUUUUAGAAAAAAUUUAUAUAUCGUCGUAGUUUGAAUAUUUUAAAAGAAUUUUAAUGUUCAAAAUUUUUUUAUAAAAUUAAAUCAGAUCAAGGUGUAGUUUAUAUAAAAGAAGAGAUGGAUUACAUUAAAUUUAUUUAAAGAUUAAUUUUUGUAAAAUUUUAUGAAUAUGGAUUUGAUAGUAAUUUUUUUAAAAUUUUAAAAAUGAUUUAAGCUCUAAAAUAUG